rnacentral:rRNA from 1 species
UAAGACGAACCGAGCGAACGUUGUUCGGAAUCACUGGGCUUAAAGGGCGCGUAGGCGGGCUGCCAAGUCUGGGGUGAAAUCCUCCGGCUCAACCGGGGAAGGGCCUCGGAUACUGGCGGCCUCGAGGGGGGUAGGGGCGUGCGGAACUGUGGGUGGAGCGGUGAAAUGCGUUGAUAUCCACAGGAACUCCGGUGGCGAAGGCGGCACGCUGGACCCUCACUGACGCUGAGGCGCGAAAGCCAGGGGAGCGAACGGGAUUAGAUACCCCGGUAGUCCUGGCCCUAAACGUUGGGGACUAGGUAGUAGCCCGGACAUGGGGUUACUGCCGGAGCAAAAGUGCUAAGUCCCCCGCCUGGGGAGUAUGGUCGCAAGGCUG